AUUGAACGCUGGCGGCAGGCUUAACACAUGCAAGUCGAACGAUGACGUCUAGCUUGCUAGACGGAUUAGUGGCGAACGGGUGAGUAAUGCUUAGGAAUCUGACUAUUAGUGGGGGAUAACGUAGGGAAACUUACGCUAAUACCGCAUACGACCUACGGGUGAAAGGGGGCUUUUAGCUCUCGCUAAUAGAUGAGCCUAAGUCGGAUUAGCUGGUUGGUGGGGUAAAGGCCUACCAAGGCGACGAUCUGUAGCUGGUCUGAGAGGAUGAUCAGCCACACUGGGACUGAGACACGGCCCAGACUCCUACGGGAGGCAGCAGUGGGGAAUAUUGGACAAUGGGCGAAAGCCUGAUCCAGCCAUGCCGCGUGUGUGAAGAAGGCCUUUUGGUUGUAAAGCACUUUAAGUGGGGAGGAAAAGCUUAUGGUUAAUACCCAUAAGCCCUGACGUUACCCACAGAAUAAGCACCGGCUAACUCUGUGCCAGCAGCCGCGGUAAUACAGAGGGUGCAAGCGUUAAUCGGAAUUACUGGGCGUAAAGCGCGCGUAGGUGGUUAUUUAAGUCAGAUGUGAAAGCCCCGGGCUUAACCUGGGAACUGCAUCUGAUACUGGAUAACUAGAGUAGGUGAGAGGGGAGUAGAAUUCCAGGUGUAGCGGUGAAAUGCGCAGAUAUCAGGAGGAACACCGCUGGCGAAGGCAGGUUACUGGGCAGUUACUGACGCUGAGGAGCGAAAGCAUGGGUAGCGAACAGGAUUAGAUACCCUGGUAGUCCAUGCCGUAAACGGUGGGCGCUAGGUGUGAGGGUCUUUCUACGACUUUCGUGCCGUAGCUAACGCAUUAAGCGCCCCGCCUGGGGAGUACGGCCGCAAGGCUAAAACUCAAAGGAAUUGACGGGGGCCCGCACAAGCGGCGGAGCAUGUGGAUUAAUUCGAUGCAACGCGAAGAACCUUACCUGGGCUUGACAUACACCAGAUUGGGCUAGAGAUAGUUCGUCCCUUUGUGGUUGGUGUACAGGUGGUGCAUGGUUGUCGUCAGCUCGUGUCGUGAGAUGUUGGGUUAAGUCCCGCAACGAGCGCAACCCUUGUCUUAUGUUGCCAGCAUUUGGUUGGGGACUCAUGAGAGACUGCCGGGGUUAACUCGGAGGAAGGUGGGGAUGACGUCAAAUCAUCAUGCCCCUUAUGUCCAGGGCUUCACACAUGCUACAAUGGUCGGUACAACGCGCUGCGACACUGUGAGGUGGAGCGAAUCGCUGAAAGCCGGCCUUAGUUCGGAUUGGGGUCUGCAACUCGACCCCAUGAAGUCGGAGUCGCUAGUAAUCGCAGAUCAGCAAUGCUGCGGUGAAUACGUUCCCGGGCCU
rnacentral:rRNA from 1 species